rnacentral:rRNA from 1 species
GACGAACGCUGGCGGCGUGCCUAAUACAUGCAAGUAGAACGCUGAAGAGAGGAGCUUGCUCUUCUUGGAUGAGUUGCGAACGGGUGAGUAACGCGUAGGUAACCUGCCUUGUAGCGGGGGAUAACUAUUGGAAACGAUAGCUAAUACCGCAUAACAAUGGAUAACACAUGUCAUUUAUUUGAAAGGGGCAAUUGCUCCACUACAAGAUGGACCUGCGUUGUAUUAGCUAGUAGGUGAGGUAAUGGCUCACCUAGGCGACGAUACAUAGCCGACCUGAGAGGGUGAUCGGCCACACUGGGACUGAGACACGGCCCAGACUCCUACGGGAGGCAGCAGUAGGGAAUCUUCGGCAAUGGGGGCAACCCUGACCGAGCAACGCCGCGUGAGUGAAGAAGGUUUUCGGAUCGUAAAGCUCUGUUGUAAGUCAAGAACGGGUGUGAGAGUGGAAAGUUCACACUGUGACGGUAGCUUACCAGAAAGGGACGGCUAACUACGUG